rnacentral:sRNA from 1 species
ACCACGGCCAGGACGGCCAUCCGAAAGCGGGAAACCCUCACCCGUUGCCGUGGUGUUCCUUUGAAGGG